rnacentral:rRNA from 1 species
AACGAACGCUGGCGGCAUGCUUAACACAUGCAAGUCGAACGAGACCUUCGGGUCUAGUGGCGAACGGGUGCGAAACGCGUGGGAACCUGCCUUUAGGUUCGGAAUAACACCCCGAAAGGGGUGCUAAUACCGGAUAAUGUCUUCGGACCAAAGAUUUAUCGCCCUUGGAUGGGUCCGCGAUGUAUUAGCUAGUUGGUAGGGUAAAAGCCUACCAAGGCGACGAUCCAUAGCUGGUCUGAGAGGAUGAUCAGCCACACUGGGACUGAGACACGGCCCAGACGCCUACGGGAGGCAGCAAUGGGGAAUAUUGGACAAUGGGCGAAAGCCUGAUCCAGCAAUGCCGCGUGAAUGAUAAAGGCCUUAGGGUUGUAAAGCUCUUUUACCCGGGAUUAUAAUGACAGUACCGGGUAAAUAAGCUCCGGCUAACUCCGUG